UAAGUAGUAUCCUAACAUCCUAAAUAAGUUUAAUGCAGUUUCCAAAAAUGGACAACACUCCCAGUUAAUGGCAGUGAGCACUUUGGGAGAACUGAUUUUACAAAUACAUUUUUAUUUAGUGCUUUAAAAAUUCAGUGCAUUACUAACAAACAAAUGCUUUAACCCUUUUAGUUAAGGACUGUGUUUCUAUGUUUCUAUUUUAAAAUACCAAAGAUAGUUAAUGUGAAUGAAUUACCAAAGAAUAUCAAAAACUCUAAGCAGAAGUAUUUUAGCAGAAUAUAUUAGAUCUGGAGGGACUUCAAAGAUCAGUUCAUGACUUAGGAGAAACAUAAGGCUCAGAUAACUAAGUUUUGUCUGUACAACAGAGUACCACACAACAGAAGCUUUCCAUUCUGUCAUGAUGUCUUCUGUUCUCCUACCUUCUUCCUCUUUCCACUUUCUAUGUCCAUGCCACAGGAGUUUUAUUUCUGCAUCCAAAUAUUACAAGCUUAUUCUUAUAUAAGGGCCAUUGUACCUGCUAAUGAUUCUGUCCAGAGCAUUCAGCUCCCACAGUGGACCCUUCCCCACUGAAGUCUCAACAAAUAUAUCACUGUGAGCACUCUGUCUCAAGUAAUCACCUCUUCUCUGCUCCCCAUUAUUUUAUUACAUUGCCCUGUAUUGUUUUCUCCACAGCACUUAACCUGAAAUUAUCUUGUACAUUGAUUUAUUUUGCAUUCUGUCUCCCCAAUCUUGAAGCUAAGCUCAAUAAAAGUAAUAUAGCUGUCUAAGUUGACACAAUAGCAUCUGAAAUAUCAGCUGGCACUGGAAAGAACUCAGUAAGUAUUUGCUAAGUGAUGGAAUGAUUUACUCAUAUGAUAUCUAUAAUGCCAAUCUUGUUACGAUGUUUAGAAAAAGAGUUUGCAUUCAAAUAUAUAUUUAAUUCAACUUGACUUUUUUUAACCAAAUCUUUUUCUGCAGUCUUUCUUUAGAGCAUUUGUUUGGGAAAUGAAAAUAAUUCUGUAACUAUUCAUUGAUAUACAUGCAUCAAUAUCAAUUUCAAAGUGCAUCCAUAUUUUUAUUUUUGUCUAUCUGCAUUAAUUCAUACAUCACUAUGUGUUCUGCUUCCUGGCAUCUGCUGAUUCCAGAUUUUCUAGUUUACAGUGUAACAUCAUUGAGUUUGGUGCCAUAUGGCUGCCCUUCUUUGGUCCAAGUUUUGAUCAGUCAAGUGAUGGCAGACUGACUUGUGCCACUUUAGAGAAGAUAGAGAUUUGAUGUGGAGCCAAUCCGCUAAAACAUUUUCUUGAAGAAAAAUGUGUUCUAAGCAUCAAUAGGAUAGCAUAAGCUAUACUAAAUAAUAUAUAAAAAUACACUUUGUUCUUAAUGGUUGUCUCAGAGACAAAUUGUCAGAAGCUUGUUUUACCCCUAAAGGGAAAUACUCAUUCCAAAAAUUUAACUGGUGCUGUGCUCAUGUGUGUGACUAGAGUUAUUCUUUACCAACAGCAGUGAGGGCUUUUAUACCCUGAAGUGGGGUAGUCUAUUCUUUCACUGAUAGCAAUCUGAAAAGCCAAUGUUGCAGUUUAGUGACUUGAAACGCCACCGACAAACAUGAGGAAAUACUUUGAAAGAUGCUCUGAUGUGAUCUACUGGUAUUAAAAAUGCAUCAAGAAGUCUGGCCCACACUCAUCCCAUGACUCACAUCCAACUUCACUUUAGUUAUGUAUUAAUAACUUGUUUAUUCUCAAAAGUAGUAGAGGAAAUUUUGGCCUUGAAGUUAUUAGUGGCUGAGACAAAAAUGCUAAAUUUUUUUACAGUAUUUAUGAGAUACAUAGUUUUAAAAUACUAGCUAUUUAAUAAAAACAAGGUUUUUUUAUUUUUUAAGCACUAAAGUUUGAGAGAAAUAUCUGUUAAAGGGUUUCAUAAAGAGCAUAUAGGUCUUAUCUGAACAUAUUCUUAGCCACAUUUGAAUAGUCAGUAGUGGAAGUUCUGUCACACUAUGCCUUAGAGUAAAAACAGGCAACAAGGCAGUUCUCAAAAUCAGAUUCUAAGAUGUGCCAUGGAUUUGCAUUAGAACUUUUCAACAUGUUGAGGUGUUCUGAGUUGUUUUAAGUGUAAAAGACUAAGGGCUAAAUAUGUUUCAAGAAAUUCAUGUAAUACUAGUGCAAGUUGAAAGUAAUGCUAAAUAAAUAAAAACUGUUUAAUUAUGACAGAGCACCGAUAUUACACAGAAUUCUCCACCUUUAAACCUUAGCUUAAGGUUUGUAGCUGAUAUACAAGACUAGUGGGACAUGCAUGUCCCUUAAUAUUCCAUCCCUACAACUUAUUACUUGUGUGCCCAUAUAGAAGUUACUUAAUCAAUUUGUUCAUACAUUCUUUUCUCUGUAUUAAGAAAUAUCCUAUAUACCUAGGAAGAAAUUCCAUGAAAUAGUGCAGUUAAGAGCCCUCAAUCCCCAUACUGAGAGUACCUGCCAUAUAGUAGCUACUCAGUAAUGUCGCCUUUGCUGCUUUAUGAACUAUAUCAAAAAACAUUCCUUUAAGAACAGUUCAGGAGAAAGUAUCCUUUUAGCAAUGUGCGUCAUUGGUAAAACUUUCAUUGAACCAUAAAAAAAGCAAUUAGUGGAUAAAAAGAGCUGAUGGGUACAGAGCUGCUUCCGGGCCAACUCAACUCUAUCAUAUACUGUCCUUUCCAUUCAAUUCCAUAACUGCUUCAAAAAACGAAAGGAUAUGCCAAACUUUUCUCUGGCUACAAGAAAGUUUUAAUUGAAAACAAGAGUGCUGGGCUGAAUACAGCUUCAGCAGAUUCCCAGUUAAAUUAGAAGGGACUUUUCAUUUAAGUCCUAGUGUUGAUAUGUCACUGUGCUCUGUCACUUUGAAAAGCGAUAGUGCUUUGUUAUCAGCACUGAGCCCUGGCAGGAUUCUGAUGUAGACUUAGACUAAAAUAGAAUGCCAGAAUGAUGAAGGCGCUGCUUACCUUCAGAAAUCUCCAGGCUGUAGAUGUGGGCAAAGGUGCUGACAUAUUGCUCUGUCCAUCCCAAUGGGUUUGAUAAUCGCCGACAGAUCAUUUUCACAUUUUAGUUUGUAAUUUGAAAUUUUUAAAGCAUUGGCAGAUUUUCACAGAAGUAUGAAUAUUACUGAUUCUAUUAGAUUUAUGCCACACAAAAACUUUAUUUCUUAGGCAAAUUAUUAAGAAUUAAUGUUUGCCCUUUAACCUGCAAGUUCUACUUGGAAAGUAUUCAAAGAAAAAAUUACUGUAAUUUGACAAUUGAUAGAAGAUGCUGACCUGCCAGUAAACACAGUCAUUUGUUACAUUACACCCUGUUUGUGUGCCAACCUGCUGCUGCACACUGAGGUAGGUGCUGGCAAUGGGACGACAAGUUAAGAGUCCCUGUCCUCAAGCAGGGAGACAUACACAGAAAUAGGUAAUUAUAAGCUAAUGCAGCAAGUGAAAUCAUAUGCAUAAAAUAUUACUGAAACAUGAAAAGCAAAUAUCAUGAUAUGUCUUAGGAAGCAAGUGCUAGAAAUUGUGCAUGUCUAACCAGUAUCCUUGUUCCUAAUGACUAGAUCAACAAAUUAUUUGUAUGGAUGAAUAUUUAUAUUUGUGUGACAUUACUUUCCUUGGCUAGGAACAAGAUGUCUUUCAGGACUAGAAAGAUAUAUUUAAAUAGAGGAUUUUAAUUGGAAAAUGGAAACUUUUUGAGGACUUAGAAUUAUUACCCCUCACUUUUACAACUCCCACCCCAAACAUACACAAUUUAACUUUUUAUAUGCUGAAGUGUUCCAUGGCUUUCUGUGGUUGACUACAUAGAAAGAAAAUCACUUUUGAAACUGCUUUACUCUAGCACUUCAGGCUCUUUAAUAUAGACUCACUUUUCUACUAAUAUGUUUCUCCACAUUAAAUUCUGAUAUAAUAAUCAUAUAGCUAAAGAGCAUUUAAGAGAGUCUACCUUGUGAAAGGAAAAAUACAUGUUUCACCACAUUUGCUUCUUUUUGAAAUUAAAUCUAUUUUUGAAUAUCUUUGUAUAGGUCUUCAGAGCCCUCCCCUCUGGAGAGGUGUUUUAGGAACACAGCGGUGCUGCUGUGAGCUUUAAUCACUGGGUAUUUGUUUUUUUCACACUAAUUCCAAACCACAAAACUAGCAUUCAAAUUGAAUAUGGCAAUAGGUUUACAGGCCUUUAAUUGACUUUCAAGUGUCAUACUAUAUUUUCAAAGCAUUUGAUCAAGUUUAUCACUUUGGGAUGGUUUAAAACUUGGUUUUCUAUAACAUGCGGCCUUUGAAAUAUUCUAACUAAAAGGCAAAUAAAAGUAGAAAAUAUUUUACAACUUCAGUGCAAGUUUUUAAAAAUUAAUCAGCCACAUGUUUGAGUCCCAUCUCUGUGAGCAGAUUUCUAGAGUAAAUUCCUCCUGUGCUAGGCUGAAUUCCUCAAACCACUGUGUGUCUCUGUCCAGAGGGGUGGCUGUAUACAAACUGGCCAUUCAAAGUAAAGUGAAUACUUAUUUUUCAACAUUUAUAGAUGCUGGCAUUCAUAUUUUGCAUUUCAUUUGACCAUUUUAUUGUCUACCUUUAGUUUAUUUAGUUAACAAUGGGAGGAAAGUAUUCAUCAUAUUUGCAGUUACAUCUCAGAACCUAAACCAACAGUACUCUUUUUUGCUGGACAAAUAAAUACAUAUCUUAAGGGUGUGUGAAUAACGAAGGCGACUAGAAUUGUAGCCAGACCUUAAAGACAACUUCCUUUGUAGUGAUUGGUAGCUUUGAAGGUAAAACUAAAAAUGAUAAGGAGGGCAUACAUAAUCGAAUGUGGCCCCAGAUGAGAGUAGCAGGAAGGUUCCAGGAAGUUUUAUAAAACCUGGCCCUCUACCUUAUUUUUUAACUGGCAUUAGGGUGGAGAUGCCUAUCACAAUUUUUCCUUUAAUCAGAAAACCUUGAAAAAUAUUGCUCCAGGACAAAACUUAGUGAGUAAAAUGUAAUUUCUGAGAAUGUUAUUUAGGACCAUUUGAAAUGGGGCACUUGAUCCUAACUGUAUACAGAAGCACACACAUAUAUUGGUUAGGAUAUAUUUAUAUGUUAUGGAAUUACUUCACAUAUUAUACAUGUUUACAUGUUUAUACUAUUUAUACAUUAUAUAUAUAUAUAUAUGGUACUGAUUUAUUUAGUAGGUAAGUCAUAACUAUCUUAUUAAAUUCUAACCCCUUUUCACAGUAAAUAUUACCAUUUGAUGUCUCUUACCCUCUAUUCUCUGUUGUGUUUUAUACACUUGAUGGUCAGGGGGUCAGGUGAUUUUACCUCUAAACAAAGCAAAGUAAGAAAUAGCUUUGAUGCCAUUGUGGAAGUAAUUGAGGAUGCCCAAUUUUGGUAAAUAAAAAAAAAGGCAUGAUUUUACUCUGUCCUCAUUCUUUCAGUAUUGUAUAAAUAAUAGUCUUAAAUGUCAAACAGAUCCUAAGACUAUCCUAUAAUAUUUCAGGUCAUAUUUUAUAGAGAAACACUAACAAAUUGUAUCUGUCAGAAUGAUUCUCCUUACUUGGCAAAACAACUAACACAGCAACAAGAUGUAUGAGGAGAUCAGCACUUUAUAAGAGAACUGCCUUUGCCACUAUUUUAAAUUCUCUACUGGCUUAAACUAUGAUUUUAUGACUAUUUAUUUAAUGUGUGUUUAUGUGUCUGUGUUUUUUUUUUUCUUUUUUAAGGCUGACCUAUAGAAUAUGGAAGUUACCAGGCUAGAGGUAGAAUCUGAGCUGUAGGUGCCAGCCUAUGCCACAGCCACAGAGACACCAGAUCUGAGCGGCAUUUGCAACCUACACCACAGCUUACGGCAAUGCCAGAUCCUUAACUCACUGAGUGGAGCCAGGGAUGGAACCCUGAUCCUCAUAGAUACUAGUCAGCUUUGUUACCACUGAACUACAACUGGAACUCCAGUAUUUUCUUUCUUUUUACCCUCUGAAUUUAUUCAGCAAUUUUAUUACCAUUUUGAUGAAAGUUACUGAGUUUGAGACAUUUUAUAGCAGACUUAGCUGUUAUGAACUAGUUACAUCUUAAAGAUAAAAGGAAAAAAUGAGUAUAGACAAGCACACAUUAAUUUUUCUAAGAUAUAUUAAUAAAAAUUUUGAAUGUUUUCAUUUUUCUUUCUAUUUUACCCUCCUUUCUAGAAACCCCCCCCCACAUAAUUAUUAAGACAAACAUCAUCUUCUCAGAUGAUAUUCAUAUAUUUGUAUUUUUAGUAGUUUAAAGAUAAUAUCAUAAUUCAUAUUAAGGUGGGUUUAUAAGGGCAAAGAAACAAAAGAAAAUUGAAUUAUAUAUGGCAAAUUAUAUGAAAUUAAGUAUUAUUUUAAGCAUGGCUUUUUUGCAAAAUUUGAAGGUCAUUCCACAUGUUAACUCAUUUUGUUCAAAAGAAAAGCAACCUGAAUAAUGCAUUUUUAAAAUAGGCAACAUUCAUUAGAGAAAGGAAAAAGCAAAACAAAACAGCACCC
rnacentral:lncRNA from 1 species